AGCUUUCUGACACUGGGCAGCACAUUUGUCUCCAGAAAAUCUCGACAGUCGUGAGAUUUCACUGCACAGAUUCAACACAUCCUGUACCAGACGCAGCGCAGCAGCUCCAGAACAGAACCGAGCCUCCUCCGUGUUUCACAUUAGCUGCAGUCUUCUUCUCUUCGAAUGGCUUCAGUUUUGUGUCUCUGAACAUGGAGCUGAUGCGACUUCACACAAAGCUCCAGUUUUGUCUCCUCGGUCCAAAGGACAUCCUUUCAAACUCAACUCCUGAAUAAAAUUUAGAGCCACAUCACAGGACAUCCAGCUGCUUGGAGAUGGUCUUACAUCCUUCACCUUGAACAUGUUUGCCACAUGGUCAGGAUGAGAUAGUAGAGCAAUUGCACAUGGGGCUCCGUCAACAAGGAAGUCCGUCAGCAGGGACUCGUACAUCAGCCAGACUCUGGCCGCUCGGCCUGCUGAGCCCCACCUGUGGCUCGGCCACAACACAAUCAACCAGUCCAGUGGACAGAGACAAACAUUAUGAACCAGAAGCUCGACAAGUUGCUGACGGAAAUGGAAAAAUAGGGCGCCGCAAAAUGAGGUCCUGUUUCCUUCUUUCACACCACAACAUAACACGACGCCUUUCUGAUUCACACUCUGGCUUACUUUGGACACGAAACCGCUAGUGCUGCUCACUACUUUCAACAAAUAAGAGGAAGUGUGUUUGACAUGAAAUUCUGCUAAAACAUUUUAUUGUUACAGAAGAAAAUGCUUUAUUUUGGUUUAAAGCUCAACCCAACUAGUGGUAAAGCAGCGAUGACAUG